CGGCUCUGGAGAAUCCUGGAUAAACGGGUGCCGAAGGUGCAAGACAGCAGAUACGGACGGGUUGAAUACUCUUCCUAUCUGUUGUCAAUCUCUCAGGCAAAAGGACAGAGCAGA
rnacentral:ncRNA from 1 species